rnacentral:rRNA from 1 species
AUGGCGGACGGGUGAGUAACGCGUAAGAACUUGCCCUUUAGACUGGGAUAACAGAGGGAAACUUCUGAUAAUACUGGAUAAGUUAGUAUAUCGCAUGAUAUGCAAAUGAAAGCUACGGCACUAAAGGAGAGCUUUGCGUCCUAUUAGCUAGUUGGUAAGGUAAGAGCUUACCAAGGCGAUGAUAGGUAGCCGGCCUGAGAGGGUGGACGGCCACAAGGGGACUGAGAUACGGCCCUUACUCCUACGGGAGGCAGCAGCU